rnacentral:rRNA from 1 species
GUCCACGCCGUAAACGAUGCUAACUCGUUUUUGGAUUUUCGGAUUCAGAGACCAAGCGAAAGUGAUAAGUUAGCCACCUGGGGAGUACGUCCGCAAGGAUGAAACUCAAAGGAAUUGACGGGGGCCCGCACAAGCGGUGGAUUAUGUGGUUUAAUUCGAUGAUACGCGAGGAACCUUACCAAGACUUAAAUGGGAAUUGACAGGUCUAGAAAUAGACCCUCCUUCGGGCAAUUUCCAAGGUGCUGCAUGGUUGUCGU